rnacentral:tRNA from 1 species
GGAGAGUUGUCCGAGUUGGUCUAAGGAGCACGACUGGAAAUCGUGUAAGUCGAAAGGCUUCGAGGGUUCGAAUCCCUUGCUCUCCGCCA